CGAUUUUCGAACAACUUAUCUAAUGCAACAAACUUCCUUGUAGCAAUAAAAAGAUGUUUAGCAACAUCAUGUUGGUUUCUUGGUAUCUCUUCUGGAUUUGAAGCAAUACUAAAUCCAGUUCCAAUAGGAUUAUCAAGAAAAAGUACCCCAAAUAAACGAUUCCAUGAACCAGGAUUAGGUUUGAGCGUAAGAUGUUCGACAUUUUGCCUCAGAGAAGACGAAACACGAAAAGGGCCAAGUUCAUAAAAGUUCCCAAGCAUGGAAGAACAUCCAGG
rnacentral:misc_RNA from 1 species